GCGCACGCUGGCGGCAGGCCUCACCCAUGCAAGUCGAACGCACCUUUCGGGGUUAGUGGCGGACGGGUGAGUAACACGUGGGAACGUGCCUUUAGGUUCGGAAUAACUCAGGGAAACUUGUGCUAAUACCGAAUGUGCCCUUCGGGGGAAAGAUUUAUCGCCUUUAGAGCGGCCCGCGUCUGAUUAGCUAGUUGGUUGAGGUAAUGGCUCACCAAGGCGACGAUCAGUAGCUGGUCUGAGAGGAUGAUCAGCCACAUUGGGACUGAGACACGGCCCAAACUCCUACGGGAGGCAGCAGUGGGGAAUCUUGCGCAAUGGGCGAAAGCCUGACGCAGCCAUGCCGCGUGAAUGAUGAAGGUCUUAGGAUUGUAAAAUUCUUUCACCGGGGACGAUAAUGACGGUACCCGGAGAAGAAGCCCCGGCUAACUUCGUG
rnacentral:rRNA from 1 species